GUAGGCGAUAGAAAUGUAUGCCUUGGCGCAAUAGAUACAGUACCAUAAGGGAAAGAUGAAAGAACUAAAUUAAGCACUAAAAAGCAAAAAUAAACUGUUUUACCUUCUGCAUAAUGUACUAGCUAGAAAUAACUUGACACAGAGAACCAUAGCCAAGUCCCCGGCAACCAGACGAGCUACUCAAAAACAGCUGAAAGAGCACACCCACCCACCUAUGUGGCAAAAUAGUGGGAAGAUUCAUGAGCAGCGGUGACAAGCCUACCGGGCCUGGUGACAGCUGGUUGUCCAAGAUGGAAUCUUAGUUCAACUUUAAACUUACCCACAGAAUUACUUAAUCUCCCUGUAAGUCUGUUAGUCUAAAGAGGGACAGCUCUUUAGACCCUAGGGAAUAACUUUUCUGUAGGGAGUAAAAAAUAUUGCCCCCAUAGUUGACCCAAAAACAGCCACCAAUUAAGAAAGCGUUCAAGUUCAACAUCUAAUUAUCUUAAAUUCCAAUCACUUUACCGAACUCCUAACAACACCUUGGACUAAUCUGUUAUUUAAUAGAAGCAAUAAUGUUCACAUGAGAAAUGUGAAAAUAUUCUCCAUUGCAUAAACUUACAUCAGACUGGAAUAACCCACUGACAAUUAACAGCCUAAUAUUAAUAAGCAAUAUAACAAGCACCCUAUUAUUUAUUCUGUUAAUCCAACACAGGCAUGCGCUAAGGAAAGAUUACAAAAAGUAAAAGGAGCUCGGCAAAUCUUACUCGGCCUGUUUACCAAAAAUAUCACCUCUAGCAUUUCCAAUAUUAGAGGUACUGCCUGCCCACAGACAUAUAUGUUCAAUGGCCAUGGUAUCCUGACUGUGCAAAGGUAGCAUAAUCACUUGUUCCCUAAAUAGGGACUUUUACGAAUGGCCACACGAGGGUUCAGCUGUCAUUUACUUGUAAUCAGUGAAAUUGACCUGUCCCUGAAGAGGCAGGUAUAAACAAGUAAGAUAAGAACACCCUAUGGAGCUUUAAUGCAAAUAAAAAUUCAAAAGCCUACAGGCCUUAGCAUACCGUCUUUGCAUUAAAAUUUUGGUUGGGGUGACCUCGGAAUAUAAUUCAACCUCCAAACAGCCUAGACUAAGACCGCACUAGUCUAAGUGAGCUGACACACAUUGAUUCAAUAAUUUGAUCAACAGAAGAAGUUACCCUAGGGAUAACAACAAAACCCUAUUCUAGCGUCCAUAUAGACAAGGGUUUACAACCUCGAUGUUGGAUCAGGCCAUCCUAAUGGUGUAGCCUCUAUUAAGGGUUCAUUUGUUCAACAAUUAAAGUCCUACGUGAUCUGAGUUCAGAUUAGAGUAAUCCAGGUCAGUUUCUAUUUAACAUUUCUCCUAGUA
rnacentral:rRNA from 1 species